CCUCUCUGGUCUCUCCACUAUCAUUAUUUAUUAAUUACUGGAAAAAAAAAGACAGCUGAUAGAGGGAAUGGAAGGCGAAGCAGGCUCUAAUGGCGUCGUAGAAGAGCCCUCUCAUUCUCCCAACAUGAAUGGGGCUUCCACCAGCGUUCGAGAAAAGGGAGUCGGGGACCACUUUGUGCUGUGCCUAGCGUUUGAGCUCCACACCACUUGCAAGACAAGACUCUCUCUCAUAAGGAGCCAUAUGACCUCCAUUUAUUGGGAGGGUUCAAAGUGCACCCAUCGGGAGGGCUGUAAUCUUUUGGCUGAUUAUCAAAGCUUGGAGGUCACAAACAAAGAAGUUUUACAUACAGAACAUAGUGGGAAGCGAACAAAUCUCUCACUUCAAAUACCCCUAAGGCCUGUAGACUUCAACGGUAGUCAUAAUGGGAAAGGUUCCGCUAAAGGUGGUUCAUCUACUAGAGGCAUCUUGCGUGGAGUGAGCUUCCAGAACCAGGCUGAUUACCAAAGCUUGGAGCCGACAGACAAAGGAAUUAUACAUUCAGAACAUGGUGGGAAGCGAACAGAUCUCUCAGUUCAAAUACCCCCAAGACAUGCAGACUUAAGUGGUAGCCGUGGUGGGAAAGGUUCCUCUAGAGGUAGUUCAUCUGCAAGAGGCAUCUUGCGUGGCCCAAGCUUCAAGAACCAGGUACCCGUACUUGAUGAGAGAAGCUCCCUCCUUGAUUCAGAUCUUGCUGCAAGAGCAGGCCCCACGGUGGUCUCUGAGAAAGCCAGUCUGGCAACUUCUAUUGCAUCUCUCACAUGGAAAAGAUGUGUGUCACUUCCUAUUAGACAGGAAUCAAUCUUGUCCCCUUCAACAUCUAUCUCUGCAAGGGAUAAGGCAUGCAAUGAGCAGCACCCUUCAAAAAAACAGGCAAUACCAGCAAAUGUCCAAAGGUCCUUAUCUAUGCCUCUUCGAAAUGUUGUUAUUUUGAGAUCUAGAUCCUCACCUACCUCAAAAGCGCUCGGACAGACAGAUGCUAGUGAAGAUCUAAUAAGUCCGGCUCAUUUGGGAGAUGGUGAUGAAGAGAUUCCCGAAGAGGAUGCAGUUUGCAGGGUUUGUCUUGACGAUCUGAGCGAGGGGGGAAGUUCACUCCAAUUGGAGUGCAGAUGCAAAGGUGCCCUCAGGCUUAUACACGAAGAAUGUGCAAUGAAAUGGUUUGGCAUUAAAGGCAACAGGAUGUGUGAUGUUUGUGGGGCCGAGAUUCUCAAUUUACCAGUGACUUUGAUUCGGAUGCCAAGUUCUUCUCGAGCUGAUGGUAGACAACAACAUCGCGUAAGACGGCACCCAAAUUCAGCUGUGACCAGGGCCUGGCAGGAUGUGAUGGUGCUCAUGUUGAUUAGCACGAUGUGUUACUUCUUUUUCAUUGAGCAGCUGCUGGUUGGUGACAUGAAAAAUCAAGCGGUCACGGUUGCAGCACCAUUUUCUUUUGUCCUGGGCAUUUUGUCAUCAGUCUUUGCUGUUGUCCAUUCAGGGAGUAUAUUUGGGCAUAUUCAGCUUUUCAGUUUGCUCUUGUGGUCUUGUUCCUCCAUGUCUUCUAUUCUAUGGAUCGAGGAUCUUCCCUUUCCAUCUCGUUCAGAAGAAGAAGCUUUGUACCUGGAAAGACCAGUGGACCUAGAAGAGAUUAAAGCUGCAGUCUGGGACUUAGGGAGUGACAAAGCUCCUAGGCCUGAUGGCUUCCCAUAGCAUUCUUUAAAUCCUUUUGGGAUUUGUUUAAGGAAGACCUUCAUUUUGUGAUGGAGUUGUUCGAGCAAAAGGAAUUGUCUUCUAAAUUGGGGUGCACUUUCCUGGCCUUGAUUCCCAAAGUGGAAGGAGCUCAGAACAUUAAAGACUUCCAUCCCAUUAGUCUGAUAGGCAGCCUGUAAAUUCUAUCCAAGGUUCUAGCCCAGAGAAUCAGACAGGUGAUAGCUAAGAUUCAAAUCAGAGCAAUCUAUGCCAUACUGUUUUCGUCAUUUGCUGGCCUCGGAGCUGCAUUGGCCAUCAAUGCAUUGUUUCUUCUUGUUCUUGCUAGAAGAGCUCAGCUUAUUCGGACACAACGGAU